GACGAACGCUGGCGGCGUGCCUAAUACAUGCAAGUCGAACGAGAGCGACCGGUGCUUGCACUGGUCAAUCUAGUGGCGCACGGGUGAGUAACACGUGGGUAACCUGCCCAUCAGAGGGGGAUAACAUCCGGAAACGGAUGCUAAAACCGCAUAGGUCUUCGAGCCGCAUGGCUUGAAGAGGAAAAGAGGCGCAAGCUUCUGCUGAUGGAUGGACCCGCGGUGCAUUAGCUAGUUGGUGAGGUAACGGCUCACCAAGGCCGUGAUGCAUAGCCGACCUGAGAGGGUGAUCGGCCACAUUGGGACUGAGACACGGCCCAAACUCCUACGGGAGGCAGCAGUAGGGAAUCUUCCGCAAUGGACGCAAGUCUGACGGAGCAACGCCGCGUGAGUGAAGAAGGUUUUCGGAUCGUAAAACUCUGUUGUUAGAGAAGAACAAGUGCUAGAGUAACUGUUAGCGCCUUGACGGUAGCUAACCAGAAAGCCACGGCUAACUACGUG
rnacentral:rRNA from 1 species